CAUUUGCAUUUUGCAACAGAAACAGCUUCUUAUAGAGUAUUGUUUUACAGGCUAAUCUUUUUUUAUGUAAUGUAUUCAAAUGUAAUUAUAAUUAGGAUUGGGAUAAUACAAAAAUAUACUUUUUGCUUAGUGAUAUCUAUUACAUUGUGACAGAAUUUGGUUUCUCAAUAACUGUCAUCGUGAGUGCCAAACUGAUCAACUGCAUCCUAAUGGAACGUUCAAGAUGUGAUUCAGUAACUGAUACGGUAGUUGCAAUCAUUAUUUUUGACCAAAUUGAAUCCACAAAAUAAUUGUAGAAAUGGUUUCAGAUGAUUACGAACAAGCGCAGCUAUCUCUGGAGAGGUAAUGCACCUACUGAUAUCCCGUGAUAAGAACUUGGGAGAGAUUUAGUGAAAACCUGGAGAACGGCCACUUAGCUCACAAAUCUGAGCUGUUCACAUCAAGCUGAUAUUUGUGACAGCCAUUAUAGCUUUAAUCAUUUUCUCGAUUGAUCAAAGCACCACAGGCUGCAUCGUUCGUCACCUCAGCCUUCAAGCGCGUUAUGACUUACUCCAAUAAGCCAACCAAAUAUCCUUAAUAAGCAAUAGAAGUUCUUAUCGACUGUGUAUGACUCAUUAAUAUCCAUGUUUUGUAUAAAUUUAUGUGAUAGGCCUACUGAUAUUAAUGUUGAUAUACCGUAAUG
rnacentral:lncRNA from 1 species